rnacentral:rRNA from 1 species
CCUACGGGUGGCAGCAGUGGGGGAUAUUGCACAAUGGGGGAAACCCUGAUGCAGCGACGCCGCGUGUGGGAAGACGGUCCUCGGGAUUGUAAGCCACUGUCCCCAGGGACGAAGAUGACGGUACCUUGGGAGGAAGCUCCGGCUAACUACGUGCCAGCAGCCGCGGUAAUACGUAGGGAGCGAGCGUUGUCCGGAAUUACUGGGUGUAAAGGGAGCGUAGGCGGGACUGCAAGUUGGGUGUCAAAUCUACCGGCUCAACCGGUAGCCGCACUCAAAACUGCAGUUCUUGAGUGAAGUAGAGGCAGGUGGAAUUCCUAGUGUAGCGGUGAAAUGCGUAGAUAUUAGGAGGAAUACCAGUGGCGAAGGCGGCCUGCUGGGCUUUUACUGACGCUGAGGCUCGAAAGUGUGGGGAGCAAACAGGAUUAGAUACCCGAGUAGUC